ensembl:lncRNA
AUGCCUACCACAGAUGCAAAUUCAGGGAGGAUAAGAACGGUGGGCACAUCAGGUGCCAUUCACGACCUCCCCCCUCCCCCGCAACCUUCCUGUUUAACAAAGAAAACUCUUCCCAUUCUAGUGACUUCCAGCAAGUGGAAGCUAGAAAAGAAGAAACUCAGCGAAGGUUGUGUGUGUGUGUGUGAGUGUGUGUGUGUGAGUGUGCAAUCACGACGGCUGCAAAGCUCGAUAGGAGCCCUAAGGAUGCCAGACCUGGCCGGGAGGUGCAUCGCUCGGAAAAGGCACCAAGGUGGGGAGUCACCCUCAGACCAGUCCUUUUUCCCGUCCUCGGCGCUCCCGAAAAUGAGAGUUGAGCAUCAGGUGGCAAAUCCCGUCGAUCAAACUCCAGCGCCUCGCUCAGCUCCGGACCCCGAGGAAACCCCCUGCAACCAUCUCGACCAGAUCUGCAACCAGAUCGAGGUCAAUUCUCCUCCGGCGGCGGGAGAGUGGAGAACGUAAACUUCUUGAAGACAGGAGAUAUGACCUUGCAUCUAAUAGAAUCUGACAAAAUAAUGUUUCACGAAGGAAAGGAUAGAAGGUACAAAGGUAUCGGAAGGGCACUUAUUUCACUGGUGAACUUGAACCUGAAAAAAUUCCAGAAGACCUAAGAGAAGCCCAUUGCUCAUUGCUGACACUUUCUCCGGGAGACAUCUGGAAACAAUAUGAAGUAUAAUCAGCCUGUAAUCAGGGCCAACAGCACAGAAAGGUUAGAGGUGGGUUGUCAGGAAAAAAAUCCAAAACCCAUUUACACCUUGGGGACAGGACUCCAGAAACUCAGAUGGAAAAAAGAUGAGAUUCAAGCCUGAAAAUAGAAUAUAUGUCAAGGAUUUGUUCAUAAGAGUGUGAUUCCUUGAUCUAGCUCCUAGAUCAAGACCCCCAGUGAAAGAACAGAGCUGACCAAGUGCUGGGCUUGGUCCGCGCAUCUGAGAUUGGACAGGGUUGGGGGGUGGUUAUCCCCAGCUUUGCAAAUGAGAACCCAAGUGGGAAGAUGCCAGCUGGGAUCUGAGUCUCCCCUGUGUGUCUUCUACUGCUGCUCCUCAGCCUUUCCUCCUUACUGCACCUCAGAUUCGGCCACGGUAGGAGAGGCAUGGACACACUUUCUGCCAGUGCAACAGUCGUUCUCACGGAGCAAGGCCUGUGAACCUGAGCUUAUGUGUCUCAGCUUUUCACUCCAUCUGUAUCUUUGGGAUAAAUCACUAGUGGUGUAAUUGCUGGGUCGUAGGGCAGCUCUAUUUUUAACUCUUUGAGGAACCUCCACACAGCUUUCCAGAGUGGCUGUACCAGUUCACAUUCCCACCAACAGUGCAGGAGGGUUCCCCUUUCUCCACAUCCUCUCCAACAUUUGUUGUUUCCUGUCUUGUUAAUUUUCACCAUUCUCCCUGGUAUGAGGUGGUAUCUCAUUGUGGUUUUCAUUUGUAUUUCCCUGAUGGCAAGUGAUGCGGAGCAUUUUCUCAUGUGCUUGUUGGCCAUUUGUAGGUCUUCUUUGGAGAAAUUUCUGUUCAUGUCUUUUGCCCAUUUCAUGAUUGGAUUGUUUGUUUCUUGGGCGUUGAGUUUAAUAAGUUCUUUAUAGAUCUUGGAUACUAGCCCUUUACCUGAUUCGUCAUUUGCAAAUAUCUUCUCCCAUUCUGUAGGUUGUCUUUUAGUUUUGUUGACUUUUCUUUUGCUGUGCAGAAGCUUUUUAUCUUGAUGAAGUCCCAAUAGUUCAUUUUUGCUUUUGUUUCCCUUGCCUUCAGAGAUGUAUCUUGAAAGAAGUUCCUGUGGCCAAGUUCAAAAAGGGUGUUGCCUGUGUUCUCUAGGAUUUUGAUGGAUUCUUGUCUCACAUUUAGAUCUUUCAUCCAGAUGCAGGGAAAACCGGAGACACCUGCACCCCAAUGUUUAUAGCAGCAAUGUCCACAACAGCCAAACUGUGGAAGGAGCCUCGGUGUCCAUCGAAAGAUGAAUGGAUGAAGAAGAUGUGGUCUGUGUAUACAGUGGAAUAUUCCUCAGCCACUAGAAACAAUGAAUAUCCAUCAUCUGCUUUGAUGUGGAUGGAACUGNUUUUGUUGACUUUUCUUUUGCUGUGCAGAAGCUUUUUAUCUUGAUGAAGUCCCAAUAGUUCAUUUUUGCUUUUGUUUCCCUUGCCUUCAGAGAUGUAUCUUGAAAGAAGUUCCUGUGGCCAAGUUCAAAAAGGGUGUUGCCUGUGUUCUCUAGGAUUUUGAUGGAUUCUUGUCUCACAUUUAGAUCUUUCAUCCAGAUGCAGGGAAAACCGGAGACACCUGCACCCCAGUUUAUAGCANACAACAGCCAAACUGUGGAAGGAGCCUCGGUGUCCAUCGAAAGAUGAAUGGAUGAAGAAGAUGUGGUCUGUGUAUACAGUGGAAUAUUCCUCAGCCACUAGAAACAAUGAAUAUCCAUCAUCUGCUUUGAUGUGGAUGGAACUGGGGGGUAUUAUGCUGAGGGAAGGAAGUCAAUCGGAGAAGGACCAACAUUACAUGGUCUCAUUCAUUUGGGGAAUAUAAAAUAUAGUGAAAGAGAUUAAAGGGGAAAGGAGAUAACAUGAGUGGGAAAUAUCAGUGUGGGUGAGAGAACAUGAGAGGCUCCUAACUCUGGGAAAUGAACAAGGAGUAGUGGAGAGGGAGGUGGGCGGGGGCAUGGGGUGACUGGGUGACGGGCCGAGGGGGCACUUGAUGGGAUGAGCACUGGGUGUUAUGCUAUAUGUUGGCAAAUCAAACUCCAAUAAAAAAAUAUACAAAAAAACA